AGCUUGUCUCAGUUGGCCAUCUUCACAGAUUAAGUUUACAGAAUCCAAGCCUUUAUUUGUUUUGACCACAAUAGGAAAUUCUAUCUAUCCAAUUACUGAAGCUUGCAGAAAAUUGAAUUGAUUUAUGGACUAGCACAGGGAGGGAGAAAGAAUAUUCUGGAUGCUGAAUGCUUACAAAGGACGGAUAGCUCACUUUACCUUUAGGGAGAAUGCUUUUGAAAAAGCUCUCCGCAAUGACCACGACAUCUCUUUGCAGAGAAAAGAGAGGAGAAUUAAAAGGUGAAGAAGUUCACCUAGCCUAGCUGACACGUGACCAGAGGAACCAAUGCGGGGAC